rnacentral:lncRNA from 1 species
UAAUGCCAUUUUCUUGCUUGCUGAAAUAAGCAUACUAUUUAUGACUUUUAGAAUUUAUGUAUAUUUUGUCCUAUAUUCUUACAAUGUAAUUAAAUAACCUAAAAACAAUUCUUUCAAAAAACCACUCCCUAUCUGCUAUUAGCCAAUGCCUGUGCUAAUGUGACAGACAUGUCAUUUUGGGACAGGCAUUUGGGAUCACUUCUUUCAAAGAUUCAAUAUGAGGAAAAAAUGCUGCACUACUGGAAAUGGCAUACAGACAAGUGUCAUAAUGCUUGACAAUAACUAUUUUUAAAAACUGGUAUUGUCAAUAAGCUUAUGUUUAGAAAUUCCAAAACUAAAGUUAAAAUCAAAACAGAAAAGCAACCACCAAUUAUCUUGGCAAAUUAUAAUUUAAAAGAGGGCUAUUAAGUUUCGAUAUCAGUAGAAUCAAUGUGAUUCAAAUCAC